UUGUUGGUAAGGUAAAAGCUUACCAAGGCUUCGAUCAGUAGCUGGUCUGAGAGGACGACCAGCCACACUGGGACUGAGACACGGCCCAGACUCCUACGGGAGGCAGCAGUGGGGAAUUUUGGACAAUGGGGGCAACCCUGAUCCAGCCAUGCCGCGUGAGUGAAGAAGGCCUUCGGGUUGUAAAGCUCUUUCAGCCGGAACGAAACGGUUACGGAUAACACCCGUGACUACUGACGGUACCGGAAGAAGAAGCACCGGCUAACUACGUGCCAGCAGCCGCGGUAAUACGUAGGGUGCGAGCGUUAAUCGGAAUUACUGGGCGUAAAGCGUGCGCAGGUGGUUUUGUAAGUCAGAUGUGAAAGCCCCGGGCUCAACCUGGGAACUGCGUUUGAAACUACAAGACUAGAGUGUGGCAGAYGGGGGUGGAAUUCCGCGUGUAGCAGUGAAAUGCGUAGAGAUGUGGAGGAACACCGAUGGCGAAGGCAGCCCCCUGGGUCAACACUGACGCUCAGGCACGAAAGCAUGGGGAGCAAACAGGAUUAGAUACCCUGGUAGUCCAUGCCCUAAACGAUGUCAACUAGUUGUCGGGCCUUUACGGGCUUGGUAACGUAGCUAACGCGUGAAGUUGACCGCCUGGGGAGUACGAUCGCAAGAUUAAAACUCAAAUGAAUUGACGGGGACCCGCACAAGCGGUGGAUUAUGUGGAUUAAUUCGAUGCAACGCGAAAAACCUUACCUACCCUUGACAUGUAUUGAAGCCCGCAGAAAAGCGGGGGUGCCCGAAAGGGAACGAUAACACAGGUGCUGCAUGGCUGUUGUCAGCUCGUGUCGUGAGAUGUUGGGUUAAGUCCCGCAACGAGCGCAACCCUUGUCAUUAAUUGCCAUCAUUUAGUUGGGCACUUUAAUGAGACUGCCGG
rnacentral:rRNA from 1 species